GCACUGAUGAAGAGUCCCAAACUAGGGCGAAACAGCUGUCCAGUAC
rnacentral:hammerhead_ribozyme from 1 species